rnacentral:rRNA from 1 species
AUUGAACGCUGGCGGCAGGCCUAACACAUGCAAGUCGAGCGGAUGAAGGGAGCUUGCUCCUGGAUUCCGCGGCGGACGGGUGGGUAAUGCACAGGAAUCUACCUGGCCGAUGGGGCUAACGUCCGGUAACGGGCGCUAAUACAGCACACGUCCAGAGGGAGAACGUGGGGGAUCUUCGGAGCAAAAGCUACCAGCUGAGCCUUGGUCGGAUUAGCUAGUUGGUAGGGUAAAGGCCUACCAAGGCAACGAUCCGUAACUGAUCUGAGAGGAUGAUCAGUCACACUGGAACUGAGACACGGUCCAGACUCCUACGGGAGGCAGCAGUGGGGAAUCUUGGACAAUGGGCGAAAGCCUGACCCAGCCAUGCCGCGUGUGUGAAGAAGGUCUUCGGAUUGUAAAGCACUUUAAUUUGGGAAGAAGAACAGUAAAUUAAUACCUUGCUGUUUUGACGUUACCAACAGAGUAAGCACCGGCUAACUUCGUG